AUCGAUGAAGAACGCAGCGAAAUGCGAUAAGUAAUGUGAAUUGCAGAAUUCAGUGAAUCAUCGAAUCUUUGAACGCACAUUGCGCCCUUUGGUAUUCCUUAGGGCAUGCCUGUUCGAGCGUCACAAACAAUCUGAUCACCAUAUGUGUGGUAUUGGCAGAAGUGGAUAUAGUCAUGAGUUUUAGACUCCACUCCGCUGGAAUAAAUAGGCUGGAAAAGUAGAUCAUAGCAACAGACUUUCAGAGUAUUUUGGAAUACUAAAUUAGUUUAGAGCAGAUCAGAAUCCAGGCCAGUUGACCCCCAUCCUGUGUAAUGCAGUAAGGUUGACCUCGGAUCAGGUAGGGAUACCCGCUGAACUUAAGCAUAUCAAUAAGCGGAG
rnacentral:rRNA from 1 species